CGGACGGGUGAGUAAUGUCUGGGAAACUGCCUGAUGGAGGGGGGUAACUACUGGAAACGGUAGCUAAUACCGCAUAACGUCGCAAGACCAAAAGAAGGGGGACCGUUCGGGCCUCUUGCCAUCGGAUGUGCCCAGAUGGGAUUAGCUAGUAGGUGGGGUAACGGCUCACCUAGGCGACGAUCCCUAGCUGGUCUGAGAGGAUGACCAGCCACACUGGAACUGAGACACGGUCCAG
rnacentral:rRNA from 1 species